UGGGGAAUAUUGGACAAUGGGGGCAACCCUGAUCCAGCCAUGCCGCGUGUGUGAAGAAGGCCUUUUGGUUGUAAAGCACUUUAAGCAGGGAGGAGAGGCUAAUGGUUAAUACCCAUUAGAUUAGACGUUACCUGCAGAAUAAGCACCGGCUAACUCUGUGCCAGCAGCCGCGGUAAUACAGAGGGUGCGAGCGUUAAUCGGAAUUACUGGGCGUAAAGCGAGUGUAGGUGGCUCAUUAAGUCACAUGUGAAAUCCCCGGGCUUAACCUGGGAACUGCAUGUGAUACUGGUGGUGCUAGAAUAUGUGAGAGGGAAGUAGAAUUCCAGGUGUAGCGGUGAAAUGCGUAGAGAUCUGGAGGAAUACCGAUGGCGAAGGCAGCUUCCUGGCAUAAUAUUGACACUGAGAUUCGAAAGCGUGGGUAGCAAAACAGGAUUAGAUACCCUGGUAGUCCACGCCGUAAAACGAUGUCUACUAGCCGUUGGGGUCCUUGAGACUUUAGUGGCGCAGUUAACGCGAUAAGUAGACCGCCUGGGGAGUACGGCC
rnacentral:rRNA from 1 species